UACAGAGGGGGCAAGCGUUGUUCGGAAUUACUGGGCGUAAAGGGCGCGUAGGCGGCCUGCUAAGUCGCACGUGAAAUCCCUGGGCUCAACCCAGGAACUGCGUCCGAUACUGGUUGGCUUGAAUCCGGGAGAGGGACGUGGAAUUCCAGGUGUAGCGGUGAAAUGCGUAGAUAUCUGGAGGAACACCGGUGGCGAAGGCGGCGUUCUGGACUGCAACUGACACUGAUGAACGAAAGCCAGGGGAGCAAACGGG
rnacentral:rRNA from 1 species